UUUGAAUUUAACUCGUUUCAGCAGUACUCCCUACUGGAAAAAUACCCAAUAGAGUACCAAAUUCUUUUACGCCUCCUUCUCUUUCAAUUAAUGGCCUCAAGAUUUCCAUUGGAAUGUUAACAAAAAUUUUCGCAAGUGUUCUUAGCAGUUUUUCUAACAAUACAUACGACUGCAGAAUUAAUAGUCUGUCCAAUUCUUAAUAUGUUCGGAUGCGUCGACAAGCUUGCAACUAUGGUUUAAUCCAAUUUUGACGAUGCUUCCUUUUAAGAUUAAGUUCUUGCUCCUCUCUAAGCAAGUUCCUUCCUUGCGCUCUUCCUUGUCUUUCUCUCAAUUGAUUUAUUUUCCUCGAUGC
rnacentral:lncRNA from 1 species